rnacentral:rRNA from 1 species
AUUGAACGCUGGCGGCAGGCCUAACACAUGCAAGUCGAGCGGAUGAGGAAAGCUUGCUUUUCGAUUCAGCGGCGGACGGGUGAGUAAUGCCUAGGAAUCUGCCUGUUAGUGGGGGAUAACUCGGGGAAACUCGGGCUAAUACCGCAUACGUCCUACGGGAGAAAGUGGGGGAUCUUCGGACCUCACGCUAACAGAUGAGCCUAGGUCGGAUUAGCUAGUAGGUGAGGUAAUGGCUCACCUAGGCGACGAUCCGUAACUGGUCUGAGAGGAUGAUCAGUCACACUGGAACUGAGACACGGUCCAGACUCCUACGGGAGGCAGCAGUGGGGAAUAUUGGACAAUGGGCGAAAGCCUGAUCCAGCCAUGCCGCGUGUGUGAAGAAGGUCUUCGGAUUGUAAAGCACUUUAAGUUGGGAGGAAGGGUAUUCACCUAUACGUGGGUACUUUGACGUUACCAACAGAAUAAGCACCGGCUAACUCUGUGCCAGCAGCCGCCGCCGUAA